rnacentral:lncRNA from 1 species
ACACAUUUUCUUACCAUAUUGUUUAUCUGUUGUGUUUUAAUCUUUCAUGUCUUGAGAGGACAAUACAACACAUUUUUUACCACUAUAUAAAGGACACUAUUGUUUAAUUGAUGUAAGGAGAGUUUGAACUUUAAAAGAUAUAAAUUGAUAAAACUAUUUCUUAAAUACAAAGGAAGAAAAAUGGCUGGAAUUAUCAAGUUUAUUCUUACUAUAAUUAUCUUUAUUUCUCUAUUGAUGGUGCCAUCCAACGCUGCAAGUAAGUUAAUUUUUUAAGAUUUAAAAAAUUUCCUUGUUACUUUGUACACAAUGUUUUAUCAAAUAUUAGCUAAACUUUUAUUCUUAUUUUUUCAAUAUAGAAACUGUUAAAUGUAUACAAGAUACGGAUUGUUUACAAUAUCAUAGGUGUAUGCCACCAAUGCUAAUGAAGUGUGACAAUAAACAAUGUAGAUGUGUUCCAGUGACCUAUUUCAUUCGUUAUGUUCCCGUAUGAUUCUUCAUAUUAAGUUCUCAUAUGGUUCUGCAUUUAGUGUUGUACCUAAGAGAUUAUUGUAUUGCUAUAUUAUAAUUUGUUUUUUUAUUUUUCAUUUCAAGAAUUUUGUAGUUAAGUUUAAUUUUAUUUAAAUCGAGUUCUUCUCUUUUAAUUUCAAAAUAUAUUCAUAGAUUUCAUUCCAGGUAUGUAUCAUGGUCAUUUCAAUCCUACCAUCUAUUAGAAUAAUACGUGUAAUAGUUAAGUUGAAUAACUGUUAUAUUGCUUAUAAGUCUGCACGUUUUUUUACAUGUUCAUGUUAUAGUAUCAAUACACUUCCCACCUUCAAUUUUCAUUUCUCUUAUAUUUUAAAUCUUUUAUUGGUCUCAUAUGUACUAUUCAAUUUUAAAAGAUAUGAAAAUAUAGAUAUUCACUAUAAAAAUGUAAAAAUCUAUUGUUAUAAGUGCAUAUUUUAUAGAAGAUUUGUUUAUGUUUCUACUUACUAACUAAAUAUAAUGUGUGGUUAAUAUAUUUUCUAUUUCAAAAGAAAUCUCGUAUAACUAAAUUGAAUUAGAUUAUGUAAGGUUAUAAUUUAUUAUAAAAUUUACAUGUAAUUUAAAAUGAAUAUGUUUCAAAAGACGUUUUUUUAUAUCUUUAAUUUUCUAUGAUUUUGUUGGGUUUUUUUUGAGAGGGGUAUAUAAAUUUGCAUUAUUAUUAUUAUUAUUAUUUUUAUUUUCUAAUUUUUAUAUUUAAAUUGGGGUGUGAGUUUUCUGGUGAGUAUGGGUGGUUGAGAGUUUCGUUAAAUUUAAAUUUAUUAAAUGAUUUAGAUUAUAAAAAAAAGUGUGAGAUAGAUGAAAAUGUAAGGUUUGGGAGAUAAGAAUUUUUUUUAACUGCGUCACAUGUAUAUGUGUGUGAUCAUAUAUGUAUUAAUUGUUUUGAUAUUACAUAUAAUUGGAUAUAAAGGUAAGCUAAUGGAUUAUCAUAGUAUAUUGUUUGUCCAUAACAAUUUAAUUUUGAAGAGUCAUAGUACAUCUUAAAAAACAACAUAGUAAACAUUGUUGUUUGUAAAAAAAAUUAGUGACAGUUAAGAAGAAUUUUUAUAAGGUUCCACAUAAUUAAUGAACUAGAAUAUAAAUAUAAUACAACCUAAGAGUACAUUAAUGAGCUUUGAAUAUGUACUAAUAUACACACAAAAAAGAUAUAAAUUAUGACAUAUCAUCUACAAAAUGAUUUUAACCUUUUGAAAUUUAUAGACCAUGACCAAAACCACCGGCUCACCUCCAAAAGAAUAACACUAAGUUAGCAUCAUAUAUGGAUUAUAAUAUGUUUGACACGCCACACACAAGAGGGAGUGACUCUUGGAUUUAAGAAAAGCAUCUUAUGUUAUCAUUUUUAAAGUUUAAAAAUAUCUUGAUUAAAAUAUUUAUAAAUUAGCAACGGAAAGUAAAUAUGUGAAAAAUUAAGAGUUAAGGGUAAGAGAAAUGAAAACAAAUAUUUAAACAGGUUCAAUCAAGAAGACUUAUUCAUGUCCAUAAUAUUUGAUCUUAAGAGUAUUCAGUAAUACUUAGAGAGUUUUGAGUAGGUUAAAAUCUUGAACCCACUAAUACAAGAAAAAAUGAAGUUUCAAAUUAACUUUCAACCAAACAAUGAACGAUGGAGUGAAGUGGUUAGUCUUCCUUCCAAAGAACGAACUUGAAGUGAUUAGUCUCAAAGCUAAAUCGUGAUUUUCUAUGGACUUGUCUCGAACCAAUAUGAGUUUUUAAUCUAACUAAAUUGGGGUUUUGACCAGACUGACCAUGAACCAAGAUGAGAUUUUUAAUCAUGCUUAUCUUGAACCAAAGUGAGUUUUUAACCAUGUUUAAAUCAUGAACUGAGUUGAUAUUUUGAAUAUGGUUGAUAUCAAGCCAAAGUAAGCUUUUAACGUAGGUUGAGCUUAAAAGCCGAACUGACGACUUAGAAACUAAAUCUCCAAACCAAAGCUUUUAAAGGGUUUAACUUUUAAAGAGUGAUGAAUGAGAUACAAGGAUCACUUUUAUGGAUAUGAAAAUGUGAAAGAAAAUGCCUCUAUUUAUAGGCUAAAGCUUUGAUCAAAAAAGGAAAUAUCCAUGGGCCUAAAUUAAUGAGCCAAAAUAAACAAUGUAGAUGUGUUCCAGUGACCUAUUUCAUUCGUUAUGUUCCCGUAUGAUUCUUCAUAUUAAGUUCUCAUAUGGUUCUGCAUUUAGUGUUGUACCUAAGAGAUUAUUGUAUUGCUAUAUUAUAAUUUGUUUUUUUAUUUUUCAUUUCAAGAAUUUUGUAGUUAAGUUUAAUUUUAUUUAAAUCGAGUUCUUCUCUUUUAAUUUCAAAAUAUAUUCAUAGAUUUCAUUCCAGGUAUGUAUCAUGGUCAUUUCAAUCCUACCAUCUAUUAGAAUAAUACGUGUAAUAGUUAAGUUGAAUAACUGUUAUAUUGCUUAUAAGUCUGCACGUUUUUUUACAUGUUCAUGUUAUAGUAUCAAUACACUUCCCACUUUCAAUUUUCAUUUCUCUUAUAUUUUAAAUCUUUUAUUGGUCUCAUAUGUACUAUUCAAUUUUAAAAGAUAUGAAAAUAUAGAUAUUCACUAUAAAAAUGUAAAAAUCUAUUGUUAUAAGUGCAUAUUUUAUAGAAGAUU